GCAUACAAAUAUACACUGCAAAUUUUUAUUAUUAUUUGCAUAAAAAAAACAUACAAGGAAUAAGCCUAAUGUUAGGAAUGGUUCGUUUUAGGACUCUUAAACCUAACAAGUUCACAAGAAAAUAAAGCAAGUUUACAAGAUUAUAGUUUCAUGGUAGUUAUCUGUCUCUCAAACAAAAAAAAUCUGUCUCUCCUCCAAGCUAGCAAGUACCCAGCCAAGUGAUAACAUUCUUGCUGCAGCAGCAUAUCCACAUAUCCUCUGUGCAAUUUGCUUGUCACUGCAUCUUUCAAAUUAAUCUUUGGCACCAUCUGAUAAUGAAAGCCAUGGUUGAAUUUCAAAGUCAACUGCACCUUCCUAUAUGACAUCAAAUAUACUCUCUCAGUCUAUGCACAAGUAUAUAUAAAGUUAGGGGUGAUGAGAGCACAGUCAAAAAGAAUAUAAUGAAUGAAUUGAAUUUACUAGCCCAAAAUGGAGGUACACUACAGUAAGUAUCCAUCUCUAAUUCUUCUUUACCCGAAGUCUUUUAUGCAUAGCACUAGCAUCCCUCAUAUACCUUAUAGAUGAUAACAUCAACUUUAUAAAUUGAAACAAACAUAAAAAUGAUCGGCAGCAAAAAAACAAGCAUUUCACACAAGCAAAUAGAAACAACAUAUAAAGCAAACAUAGAGGCUCCCCAAUUUUUCCCCUACCUUUGUUAACUUUCACAUGAAGUAUGAAGCUCCUAAUAAAAAGAUAUAACCAUUAGUUUAACCAAUAGUAUGCAAUGUCUGUUUCAUUUAUAACUCAAUUUAACACUAAGCUCAGAUGCUAAACAGAAGAUACAAUAGUAAGCCAAAACAGUUUCACACAAUAACACAACAACACAAUUUAGCUUUUUGAACCAGUCGCCUUAACUUCAAAAACUGUACAAAUCCUUAAGGAAUUUGAUUUCGAUUUCUUCUAAUGACUUAUAGCAGAUACACAAAAGAAACUCAUAGACUUGGAAUCAACUUAAAAUGAUUUUUCUUGAAUUAGUUAUGGAUUUUCAAAGUUCAGCUUCAGUUUCAGGUUUUUCUGAAAAUUUCCUGCUAUGUGCCUAAACUUAGAAUUUAAAAGCAAAUAAGAAACUCUAUGUGAUACUAAACUUCUAGCAACUGAACAUAACCACUCCAAUGUUUCAAAAAGGAAACACACAAAACUUGCAACAUAAGUAGCUAAAUUAGAUUACCACAACGACAGCUAACAUAAGAUAACAAGUAAAUAUAGUUCUACACUUCUAAUGUUCAUCCAACUUUAAGCAUACCAAAACCUUGAUCUCUAACUUCAAUUUGAGAAACAAAUUACAUGUAUAAGAACCUUAUAGUCUAAUCUAUAUAUCUAUAUAAUAACAUAAAAGAGUAAGAAUCAUAGGCAAACACUGAGACUAAAAAGCAAAGGUACAAAAUCAGAAAAGUGCCUAACUGAAAUUCUGACCAGAAAAGCCUUUGGUUAAAAACGAUAUGGUUCAACUAGGAAUUAAAGCUUGGUGUCUUCAUGGCAUUUGAAAUAGACAUCCUAAAUAUCAAUCUGGAACUGGAAUCGUACAAAAAAGAUUUUCCUACAAUUACUUAUGAUUUUUCAAAGUUGAACACCUGCAUCACGAAAAUCACUGAUUUUGACUCAGAUUAAGUUUCCCCUUUUAAAGAUGAUUCCCAAUAGGUAACAACUAACAACAAAGAAAUACCCAAUCCUAAUGCUUUACUUCCUACCAAGAUGAUCCUCCAUAACAAGAAGCAUAAAUACUGAAGUAAAACACCAACAUUGAAAGCAGAAAGUCAUAAAGAAUCAUCUAUAUAUACUAUUACAAUAUACAUAAUAAACACAACAUAUACGUUGACAAACACAACAACUCUAUAGAAACUCAUCUUUUCUGUAAGAAUUGACUAAGUGACUAACAUGGUUCACAAAGGAAUAACCAAUUGAUCAAGAACAUAAAAGAUGCAGACCUGAAUUGUUCUUCAUAUAUUCCUAUUCUCUCUCUNNNNNNNNNNNNNNNNNNNNAGUGUAGCCGCCCGGUAAAUGUUUCGAGGGUGCACAAGGUUGACUACUUUUCACGCGUCACCCUUAGUAAGGUCAUCAAGAUAAAACACUUGUUUUACCGAUGUGACAAAAACGAACGGGUCAUUUUCGUAACAACUUGUAGCAGUGUUCACCGAUAAUAUUUUGUACUGAUCGGUCUUCAUGCUCUGCGGCCUAGUAUCAAACCAUCUACACUUGAAGAGGUGCACUGUCAUGCCUUGCCCAUAAACGAGUUCCACCACUGAAUGGAGAACACCGUAAUAGUCAACUCCAUUCCGCCCAUCAUGCGCCAUGACCCCAGAAUUUUGUGUUCUCCGUCUGCUGUCUCUCUGUUCACAUAUAAAUUGCACGCCAUUCAUCUUGCACAUCGGAUAAACUCUUGACAUUAUCGGCUUCAUCGCUAGAAGUCUUAGUUCGUGCGACCAAUUUGGGUGACCAUCAAAUUGAAUAUGGUUCAUCUGCAACCACCCAUUCAACUGUAAAUAUGGAUAAUUAUGCAAUAAACAUAAACACGUACAGAAAUAUUAAAUUACGUAUCCAGCCGCCAAAAUAAUCUGCGAACUCUCUGUUGUGGUACUCGAGAUGACCUUGAAUGUCUGGACAAUAUAGAUGGAUGUCUUUCCAGUAUUCAACUUCUCGAUAGUUAACACUAUAAAAAACAAGUAGAUUGGCCACGGCGCAAAACCGUCACCAAUAGCCUUUUUGCCGUGGCAAAACAGUAUUCGCGACGGCGCUGCGACGGCAAAACGUCCGUCACAAAUAGUGGCAUCGCCAAUGGUAUUUGCGACGGCAAUUACGCCGUCGCAAGAGAAUUAGCGACGGCAAACCUUUGUCGUCGCAAGAAGAUACGACGGUGUAAUUGCCGUCGCCAAUACCAUUAGUGACGCCACCAUUUGCGACCACAGCUUUUGCGACGGUAGCAAUGCCGUGGCAAAAGAGUUAUUUAUGAAUAAAAAAAAAUUGGCAUACAAAUAUACACUGCAAAUUUUUAUUAUUAUUUGCAUAAAAAAACAUACAAGGAAUAAGUCUAAUGUUAGGAAUGAUUCGUUUUAGGAAUCUUAAACCUAACAAGUUCACAAGAAAAUAAAGCUAAGUUUACAAGAUUAUAGUUUCAUGGUAGUGUUUACAAGAUUAUAGUUUCAUGGUAGUUAUCUGUCUCUCAAAAAAAAAUGUGUCUCUCCUCCAAGCUAGCAAGUACCCAGCCAAGUGAUAACAUUCUUGCUGCAGCAGCAUAUCCACAUAUCCUCUGUGCAAUUUGCUUGUGACUGCAUAUUUCAAAUUAAUCUUUGACACCAUCUGAUAAUGAAAGCCAUGGUUGAAUUUCAAAGUCAACUGCACCUUCCUAUAUGACAUCAAAUAUACUCUUUCAGUCUAUGCACAAGUAUAUAUAAAGUUAGGGGUGAUGAGAGCACAGUCAUAAAGAAUAUAAUGAAUGAAUUGAAUUUACCAGCCCAAAAUGGAGGUACACUACAGUAAGUAUCUAUCUCUAAUUCUUCUUUACCCAAACUGUUUUAUGCAUAGCACUAGCAUCCCUCAUAUACCUUAUACAUCAACUUUAUAAAUCGAAACAAACAUAAAAAUGAUCGGCAGCAAAGAAACAAGCAUUUCACACAAGCAAAUAGAAACAACAUAUAAAGCAAACAUAGAGGCUCCCUAAUUUUUCCCCUACCUUUGUUAACUUUCACAUGAAGUAUGAAGCUCCUAAUAAAAAGAUAUAACCAUUAGUUUAAGCAAUAAUAUGCAAUGUCUGUUUCAUUUAUAACUCAAUUUAAGACUAAGCUUAGAUGCUAAACAGAAGAUACAAUAGUAAGCCAAAACAGUUUCACACAAUAACACAACAACACAAUUUAGCUUUCUGAACCAGUCGCCUUAACUUCAAAA
rnacentral:lncRNA from 1 species